GGUCUAAGGUCAGUGGAGUCUGGGUAAAACAAUAAAGACUACUGCACUCAGUCAUAGUUUGUACUAUUUGGUCAGUUUUAUAGAGUUUACACUGGCGUAUGACAGCACGGGAGAAACUGCAUCUGUGAAUGAUGCCACAGUAGCAACUGCUUCUAAAUAGAAUGUUUACACUAGAUUCAAAAGUGAUGCAACAGCAUGUAACUGAGGCAAAGAGAACUUAAUCCUAAAUGCACCAUUCUGGCUCAUGUAAUUUCUGAGGCUUGCCUCAGAGACUGAUGGCUCCCAAGUUCAAAGACAGUGCAUUCCCAACAGGAUGGCCAGCUGACUCAAGUAACUGUGCACCAUGGAACACUGCUAAAGCUUUCUAACAAACUUGGCAAAUAUGCUCUACCACCUUUGCUGAGGGAGCAAGUUGGGAAAGCUAAUGCAAACAGAUGGCAUAAGAGAGAGCAUGAGCAGGGAAGAGAGGCAGAGGGAGAGAAAGCGAGAAAGAGAAGCCCAAGCAGGCUCCAUACUCAGCACAGAGCCCAAGGUGAGGCUUAAUCCCACAGUGGACCCUGGGAUCAUGAGCCAAGCCUAAAUCAAAUCCAGAGUUGGAUACUCAACCAAGCUACCCAGGUGCCCUUAAGAGAUUAAAUUUAAAGCAAAACUUAAAA